AGGAAAUCUGCACUUUUUAGUUUGGAGUUGGUGGUGCUUUGAGAAUCAAAAUGUUCCCACCAACACAGAGACCUUUGUGAUUGGUUCAAGUAAAAACUACAAUUUUCCUUUGGACGAUCAAACUGUUAAUGGGCAUCUAUAGAAUUAAGUACACGCAGGUACAUCUAUCUUGGGCUUUGGUUAGUAGCAAACAUUUGGUAGGAUUAACACAAACUUUGUCAUUUUUUCUUUGCUCACAGGCAAGCACAUUCCUGUGCUUGUAACUUAGUUUAUUGUGAUUGUACUUUGGAAUACUUGGUUUCGUGUUUUUGAUGAUAAUUUCCUUUGAAACAUGUACAUGCAGUGUAAUGAAUUGUUUGUGAACAUGAUCAAGUGAUGGGUUGUAGUUGUUCAUGCUGUGGUUGCAGCUGUGUUGAACUCAGGUGAUGAGUUGGUAUUUGGAGCAAACCAUGCUUAUGUAUCAUUUUCUUUAGGUUUUGGGUGUUUGCUUCAACUGGUUCUAUGGUGUUGAAUCUGAGUUAGAGCAUGAGGAGAGCAGUUUAAUAAAUGUGUUCAGAUUUUUGUUUCUUUGCAUGUCAUGGUUUUCUCAACAUUGGGUUUAUUUUUAUACAUAUUUCCUUCUAAGACCCUCAUUUCUUAGUUUCUUUUAAUUUUAAUUUUCGGGGUGUCUAUGAGUGAAACGCGUAGAAAACCCUCAGUUGAUCUCCAUUGCAGUAGAUCUCCGUCACUGGUUGCAUAUAGGGGCUAACCUAGAGAAAUUACGUUAAGGAAUGAAGUCUCCUUUAAUUUCUGGCGGAGCUUGACUGGUACAUCUUCAAUGUGUUCAAUUGAAAUUAAAAAUAUGGGCCUACUUUGCAGCAGAAAAUGUCAUUUCAGAGGAGUGGAGGCUGAAGAGAAUGCGCACAUGAUGCAGAAAUUAAAAGAAGAAUUGCAAAAGAAACAAAAGCUGAAAAGCAUAUCCAGAAACUUCAAUUACUUGCUUCCAUGGAAGAGAAAAGAAGAAAACCAUGAAGAGAUCUGGAAGUUUGGACUCUCGUUGGACUGGAAAAGAAGUGAAACAGCAGCAAAGGAAAUUGAGUGUUAACUAGACAAAAGAUAUGUUGCUUUUGUAGCCUUUUAAAGCAAAAAAAGGAUUACUUAUAGGAGAAAGAAAAUUGAGUUUAUAAUUUUAAUUGUUGAGAAGUUUAUGUGGUUUGUUUACUGUAGUCAAAACAUUGUAUUUUUCCCCCCCUUGUGGGAUUAAUGAACUUGGUAUGUGUGCACUACUAAUCAUGUAUUUAGCAUAUCAUUCUUAUAGGCUGAGGGUGUUAAGCUCAAGGAAAAUACUAUACUCCA